AGCUUGUGCUUUCGCAGUUAGCAGCCCAUAUUUGUUCGUACUUAAUAGGUUUGAGAAACGUCUUUGGGCUGAGGCCCCAUGGACUCUGCUCAUAAGGUAUUCUUCUGCUAUUAAUAACUUUGUUAAAGCCCUCCCUGGAUUGGGCCUAUACCUACUAAAUUAACUUAAAAGACUUCUUAUAGAAAGGGGAAACUGUAAAAAUAGUCACCUAACUAUUCCUUUCAUUCUAUUUUGGUCACUCAACUAUUAAUAUUUUUUAUUUAGUCACUAAACUUUUCAAAAUUAAAUAUAUUAGUUACUCUAGCUGAUGUGGGCCUUUUUAUUAGUCUAGUAAUAAAAUUAUCUCUCUAAUAUUUACACAUUCUAUUAAUUUGAUCCUAAAUAUAAAAAAUUCAACAAAUUUAGCCCUCAAUGUUUAUGAAAUUUUUCAUUUUAGUUCUAAUUCAAAAAAAAACUCAAUAAAUUUGGCCCUCAACAUUUACAAAACCUGUCAAUUUAGUCUUAACUCUAAAAAUUAAAAAAUAUUUUUUUUAAAUCAUUUUUAGCCCUGUAUAACCAAUUGACUAACCCCUGUGAGAUAUUAAAAUAAGAAAAGGAGUACCCUCUUUCAAGACUUGAUAGAUUUUUUAAAUAUCUCACAGGUUAUCCAAUGGUUUAUAAAAGACUAAUAAUAUUUUUAAUUUUUUUUUUUAAUUUUUAGAGUUAGGACUAAAUUAAUAGAUUUUGUAAAUGUUGAGGGCCAAAUUUAUUUUUGUAUAAUUAGAACUAAAACGACCAAUUUUGUAAACAUUGAGAGCUAAAUUUAUCUUUUUAUAUUUAGGACCAAAUUAAUAGAACAUGUAAACAUUAAAGGGCUAAUUUUUGUUAAUAGCCCACAUCGGCUUAGAGUGCCUAAAAUAUUUAAUUUCGAAAAGUUUAGUAACUAAAUUGAAAAAAUUAAUAGUUGGGUGAUCAAAAUAGAACGAAAGGCAUAGUUAAGUGAUCAUUUUUGUAGUUCACCCUAUAAAAAUUUUACUAGGAUCAACACCAAUGACUUAAGUGAUUUAGAUAUGGGUGACAAAAUCUAAACUGCUCAAUGGAUUCGAAUCGAUCCGUUUCACUUUUUUAAAAGUGGAUGGGAGACGAGAUACAUGGAAUUUUUUUUUUUUGAACAAUGGAUAUAGAGUGACUACGACAAUUGUUUGUCCCACUUAUCCCACUCCACUAAAAUAGAAUUAUUAUAUUAUUCUUUAGAAAAAUAGUAAAAAUACAAUUAAAAUAUAGUUUUUAACAUUAAUUAAAAUAUAUUUUUAAUUCCCAUAAAAAUUUAUGGGAAAAUCCAUUAAUUAUAUUUUAUUGAAAAUAAUUUAGUGCAUGAUUUAAAAUUAAACAAUUCAAAAUUUAAAAUAUAUAAAAUUAGUGACAGAAAUGAAAAGAAUCGCACAAACAUGCUUGAAAUAAAUUAACUACUCAAAUCCACAAUCAACAUUCAAAGAAUAACUUAGAUAGUCUAAUAGGAUCAUUUUAAUAUACUAAAUACAAUGGUGACCUGAAGUCAAAUGUAGUUGUUAUUUCAGUAUAUUUUCACACUUAAGGAACUUGUUUUCUAGCACUUUUAUUAUUAAUUAUUACAUUUUCAGUAUUUAGUAGUUUAAUAGUAAAAGUUAAUAAAAUAAAUGUUUUUAACACGUUUGUUAGUGUUUGUAACCUAUUAGGCCGACACGGGCCUUAGUUAGUUCUAAUUGUGCAAUUAACUGUGUAGGAUGAUGAAUUAUAAGUCCAAUGGAUGUAGGAUCAAGGAACGAGUGAUGCAUAAGCUUUCCAAGCUGCUAAAACACGACACGAAUCCAAGAGUGCAUAAAAUCACUAUCGUGUCACGCCAUAGAUGGUGUAUGGCACAACAUAAGGUCGACAUGAUGCCCAAGCAUUCCGGGGUUAUUUUCGUCCACACAAUCAACUUUAUACAAAGACCUUGGACGUGCCAAAUACCUAAUUCGGGCUGCCAACACUCCUAUAAAUAAAACCUUAUGGGUUUGAUGUAACUAAGUCGUCUUAGACGCAUCCGAAAAACCCUCAUAGUUUAGAAGUAGGAUUUAAAUCAAGUUUUCCUUUGUUUUUCGUAAACUCUUUGUUCUUCUCUCUUAGAAUCGAUUUUGAUCCAAGAGUUCUUUUAUUCAAUCGAAGUAUUUCAGUUUUAUUUUCCUUUACAAGCGACAAUUCUCUUUAUCCCA
rnacentral:lncRNA from 1 species